rnacentral:rRNA from 1 species
CCUACGGGGUGCAGCAGUGAGGAAUAUUGGUCAAUGGGCGCAAGCCUGAACCAGCCAAGUCGCGUGAGGGAUGACGGUCCUAUGGAUUGUAAACCUCUUUUGUCGGGGAGCAAGGCCCGCCACGUGUGGCGGGAAGGAGAGUACCCGAAGAAAAAGCAUCGGCUAACUCCGUGCCAGCAGCCGCGGUAAUACGGCGGAUGCGAGCGUUAUCCGGAUUUAUUGGGUUUAAAGGGUGCGUAGGCGGAAGGUUAAGUCAGCGGUCAAAUGUCGGUGCUCAACACCGGCCUGCCGUUGAAACUGGUCGUCUUGAGUGAGCGAGAAGUAUGCGGAAUGCGUGGUGUAGCGGUGAAAUGCAUAGAUAUCACGCAGAACUCCGAUUGCGAAGGCAGCAUACCGGCGCUCAACUGACGCUGAGGCACGAAAGCGUGGGGAUCGAACAGGAUUAGAUACCCCUGUAGUC